rnacentral:lncRNA from 1 species
GGGAAUGAAACAAAACGAAAACAAAAAACCAGGGCCCCAGUAUUAGAGUUUCUAAUUCAAUAGGUACAGGAUGGGGCCUGAUAAUUUGCACUUUUAACAAGUUUCCAGGUGCUGCUGCUGCUGCAGAUCUGGGAACCACACUUUGAGAACCACUGAACAAGACAUUAUGUCAUUGGUCCCUAUUAAAAAAAAGAAAGCCAUCUUCAAAUGAUCUUCACACUGGCAGAGCCAUAAGCUGCGAUGGAACCUAACCUCUGUGCCCCUUCAAUGUGGAACAUGUGGUCAUCAAAGAAGAUGUGGGGCCGGAUCUUCACCAAGAUGGGACUUUUGGGGGCUCCAGCAAGGAAAAGAGCUUCGUCUAUCUCUAGACCCCAGCGUCGAAGGGUCUUCAGCACACGGGCGCCUGAACUGGCUGCACUCCUAGCUGUAACCAGCCAUCAUCCAUGGAAAGUCCAGAUUAGCCUCCUGGAUGGAUUUGUGAGAAGCAGAGCCUCUCCUCCAAGCCAGAGAAGCCAUUGUGUACCAGCUCGCCCUAUUAGCAUACCAUGUGCCCAGGAGUAAACAGGGACACAGGAGAGAAUUAAGCUGACACCAGGAGACACAGCUGACACUGGGGAGAAGUGGUGAAGACAGCAUCCUGGAAGAGGUGAGACUACUGUCUCUGAAGUUACUACAACUCUUCCAUUAAUUUUGUGAGCUUCCAUCGUUUCCUACAUGAACAUUUAUUAAAAUAUUUCCAAUGCAGACUAUGGAGAGAUAGAGAAGAGAUAAGAAAGAGAAAGAGGUGAGUCGUGAGUGCAGUUGUAAAAUAUAAAUACUUUUAAA